rnacentral:rRNA from 1 species
AUACGGAGGGGGCUAGCGUUGUUCGGAAUUACUGGGCGUAAAGCGCGCGUAGGCGGAUCGUUAAGUCAGGGGUGAAAGCCCGGAGCUCAACUCCGGAACUGCCCUUGAUACUGGCGAUCUGGAGUCCGGGAGAGGUGAGCGGAAUUCCUAGUGUAGAGGUGAAAUUCGUAGAUAUUAGGAGGAACACCAGUGGCGAAGGCGGCUCACUGGCCCGGUACUGACGCUGAGGUGCGAAAGCGUGGGGAGCAAACAGGAUUAGAAACCCUAGUAGUCC